GACGAACGCUGGCGGCGUGCUUAACGCAUGCAAGUCGAACGGAAAUGCCCUGCUUUUGUGGUGGGCUAGGGUGGCGAACGGGGGGGGAACACGUGUGUAAGCUGCCCAUAACUUUGGGAUAGCUUCAGUAAGCUGGGACUAAUACCGGAUAGGAGCUGCUGAUGCCUGGAGUGGGUUGGAAGGGUGCGGCGGUGGGGGAUGGACUCGCGGCGUGUCAGCUUGUUGGUGAGGUAGUGGCUUACCAAGGCUUUGACGGGUAGCCGGCCUGGGAGGGUGACCGGCCAAAUUGGGACUGAGCUACGGCCCAGACUACUACGGGAGGCAGAAGUGGGGCAUAGUGCACACUGGGCGGAACGCUGAUGCAGCAACGCCGCGUGCGGGAUAAGGGCACUCCGGUUGUAAACUGCUCUCGCCUGUGACGAAGCGUGAGUGACGGUAAUGGGUAAAGAAGCCCCGGCUAACUACGUG
rnacentral:rRNA from 1 species